rnacentral:sRNA from 2 species
CGUGCGCAUGCGCCGAAUCCCGCAAGGGAACCGGGGAACCACCACACUUGGGGUGAAUCGGGCCCUCACCGGCCCGUAGGAGACCUUCCUGCUCCGAACCCGUCAGCUAACCCGGUAGGCGGUGAAGGAAGGAAAG